CUAAGCUUCUCUCGUAUGUUUUUGAAAAAAGAAAAGUGGAGUGUAUCAUUUAAGGUAAUUCGAAGUAGGAGAUCUCUUCAGUUCCUCAAUUACACGUGUCCUCUCAAUAAUCUAAUGGGUUAGAUUUGUUUGGUUAACUAUAGGAGUGUAACCAAGGUAUCUUACGGAACGAUUCAUUAAUGAUCACGAUCUCUUCACAACAAUUUUCAAGAGGCAAAGCAUUAUGCCUCUCUUGGUUUUACAUAUUAUAUCUUAUUUAUUGAUUGGGACUCCUUAAGUAAUCCACCAUAUUUAAUACUACUAUGAUAUUUGUUGUAUCUUAUCAAAUAUCGUGCAUCAAUACAUUAAAACCCUUAUUUAUUUCUCAAAAUAAUAGAAAAAACAUAAUUUAAAUUGAUGUAUAAAUUAAAACAAGCGUACAGAGUUUCCGCACGACAUUCAUUUUCCUUAUCCUCUAUUAUUAGGGUAAUCGUAAGCUCACGGAAACUCCUUUAUUGAAACAUUACAUGGUAUUAAGGAAAUAUAUUAAAUAGCCAGUACUUUAAACUCCAAAUUAAAGCUCCGCCACAAUUAAGUCAUAAUCCUCGCGAUCCUGGAGAACCCACUUUCCAUCUUCUUGUUGAACCAUUCCUUUGUUUUUCUCGACCCACCAAGCCCCAGGGACAAGAUAUUCAUCUUUUAGAAUGUCCCAUAUCCUGUUAACUAGUGCGAGAUCACGAUUCACCUCUAGCUUAAAACCUGCUGAUACUCCUAUUCCUUGAGUACCGUCAAUUCCGUGCAAGUAACCCUCCAAAUUAUGCCUAGUGUGUGGGUCCCCAGGAUUCAACUUCAAAUAGGGUGAUUUUGUGGUGUCGAUUAUUAUUUCCUGUCCAACGUCGAAAUAGCCAACGGGUGGGUAUUUCGGGACAAUAUCCAAUAAGUUAUGAAUUCUUAAGAUGUGAAGAUGUUUCAGUUUGGAGAAUGCCUUUUGAAAAUUGAGAU